ensembl:lncRNA
UUUCCCCCCAAAAUCCCGGGAUUUCUCCCCAGAACUCCGGGAUUUCCUCAAAACCCUGCGUUUUCCCCCCCAAAUCCCGGAUUUCCCCCCAAAAUCCCGGGAUUUCCCCCCAAAAUCCCGGGAUUUCCCCCCAAAAUCCCGGAUUUCCCCCCAAAAUCCCGGGAUUUCCCCCCAAAAUCCUGGAUUUCCCCCAGAACUCCGGGAUUUCCUCAAAACCCUGCGUUUUCCCCCCCAAAUCCCGGAUUUCCCCCCAAAAUCCCGGGAUUUCCCCCCAAAAUCCUGGGGUUCCACAUAUAAAUAUUAUAAAUAACAGAGCCCGGGCGGGCGCUGGAAGCUGGGAAGAAUUCCUGGAUUUUGGAGUCGAUUUUUGUGGGAUUUGGGGAAUUUUUUUAAUGGGAUUUGGGGUUUUUUUUUCCAUGGGGGAGGGGGGAUUUACGGUGAGUUUGGGAGGGGCGCCAAUCCUGGGACGGGGAUUUGGGAUUUGGGGAUUUCUGGGAUUUGGGAAUUUGGGAUCCACGUUCUCCGAGGCACAGGGAGGUUCCCAAAUUCUGCCCCUGCUGGGGUUUGGGGUUUGGGAUUUGGGGUUUGGGGUUUGGGGUUUGGGAUUUGGGGUUUGGGGUUUGGGAUUUGGGGUUUGGGGUUUGGAGUUUGGGAUUUGGGGUUUGGGAUUUGGGAUUGGGGUGGGGAAUUUUGGGAUCUGGAUGCUCCCCAGGGAUUUGGGAAUUCCGGGAUCCAGCCCCGCGCUGGCGCGGUGUCCCAGGGGCUGCGCUGUCCCCAAACGCCCCUGGGGGUGUCACAGUGUCCCCAGGGUGUCACACUGUCCCCAGGGGUGUCACAGUGUCCCCAGGGUGUCACAGUGUCCCCAGGGUGUCACACUGUCCCCAGGGGUGUCACAGAGUCCCCAGGGGUGUCACAGUGUCCCCAGGGUGUCACACUGUCCCCAGGGGUGUCACACCUGUCCCCAGGGGUGACACAGCCCAGCCGGGUGACAAUGCUCCUGUUUAUUUACAAGCUGUCGGGGGGAGGUGGCACCGUCCCCGUCCCUGUCCCUGUCCCCAGUGGCUCCCAGUAUCUCCCAGUUGUCCCGGGAGUGGCCCUGCGGCCCCAAGGGGGACAGGGAGGGGACACCAGGACACCUCCCCAAAGUCCCCGUGUCCCCUCGGGCUCCACGGCCGGGAGGAGCGGUGGCACCUCUGGUGGCACCUCUGGUGGCACCUCCUGGGUCACCUCCUGGUGUCUUCAGUGUCACAUCCUGGGUGUCCCCAGCACCAGGUUCUGUCUGUCCCCACUGUCACAGGGUGAAGAUCUCGUCCUGGAUGUCCCCAGUGUCCCAUUCCAGUGUCCCCAAUGUCCCAUUCCAGUGUCCCCAAUGUCCCCACUCUGUGUCCCCUGGCUGUCACAAGGUGCAGAUCCCGUCCUGGUGUCCCCAGUGUCCCAUUCCAGUGUCCCCUGGCUGUCACAGGGUGAAGAUCUCGUCCUGAUGUCCCAUUCCAGUGUCCCCUGGCUGUCACAGGGUGAAGAUCUCAUCCUGCUGUCCCAUUCCAGUGUCCCCAAUGUCCCCUGGCUGUCACAGGGUGAAGAUCUCGUCCUCGGCGUCGCGCAGCGCGGCCGCCCGCGGGCUCCGGCUCAGGGGCCGGGGUCCCAGGCGGGCGCCCCGGGGGGACGCGGGGCCGGGG